GGGGGCGAUUUGGCUUCGACGAAGAUGCUGAACCCUGUGGCGCAUGUCGGGUUGUUGGUCCCGUAAAAAACUGGCAGUUUGUUAUAAUUGCAAACGACGACGUAGAACUAGCUUACGCUGCGUAAGUUACCCCGUUCCUGAGGUGCCCAUCCAUUGGGAGUCCGGGGCCAUUUAGAUGGGAUCGCCACUACAGGCUGGAGACUCGUGGUCUGUAGGGUUAAACAGUUACGAAUCGACCCCUUGGGCACUUUGUCCGUUCGGUUUCCUGGGGGUGCUGUCUGGACGGACUAAACAUGUAGUGCCAUUGGCUGAUGGUUUUCGGACGCGGGUUCGAGUCCCGCCGCCUCCACCA
rnacentral:tmRNA from 1 species